UACAGGGGGUGCAAACGUUGCUCGGAAUCAUUGGGCGUAAAGCGCACGUAGGCGGUCUGUUAUGUCGGAUGUGAAAGCCCUUGGCUCAACUGAGGAAGUGCAUCCGAAACUGGCAGGCUAGAGUACUAAAGAGGAUCGCGGAAUUCCCGGUGUAGAGGUGAAAUUCGUAGAUAUCAGGAGGAACACCGAUGGCGAAGGCAGCUCGCUGGGACGGUACUGACGCUGAGACGCGAAAGCGUGGGGAGCAAACAGG
rnacentral:rRNA from 1 species